rnacentral:rRNA from 1 species
CAACUCUCGACAGUGGAUACCUCGGUUACCACAACGAUGAAGAACGCAGCAAAGUGCGAUAAUAAUUGCGAAUUGCAGAAUUCAGUGAAUCAUCGUAACUUCGAACGCAUCUUGCACUCUUUGGAAUUCCUUAGAGUAUGCCUCUUUGAGUGUCGGUC